UUCUUCCUUUCUUAGGACGAUUUCUUCUCCCCCUUUUUAGGUCUUUGCCUUCAUUUCCUACGAGCCAUUUACAUUUUGUUCAGAUAGCAAUUCCUUCUACUCUUUUCGUGCUUAAAGUAGGUUUUUUUCCUCCUUGAUUUGAUGGGUAAUAGUUGCUUACCCAUGAUUGCAUGUAAAUAGUUAAAUUACUGUUAUUUUUUUUAAGCAUGCUUAUAAGUAAUUAUAAGUAAGCAUGAUUGAAUCUUUUUGCUUUACAAUUUAUGGUUUUAAUUUGUUGAUGUGGAUUUUAUUUUGGGCAUAUUUUCUUGAAUUGCUUAUCUUACUUGCUCUUAACAGUAUCUGUUGAUUUUUUUGUAUUGCCUUCCAAGUCAUUUACUCAAAUUGUAACUAGAAAAGGCUUACCAUAAUUCGGAUUUACAACUUUUUAAUCCUUUUGGAAGAAGGAUUAGUUCUUCUUUAACUGCUUUUAGCUUUUUUAGAUGCCCAUAAAGAUUAAAAUAGAUAAAUUCAAUAAUAAAACUGUCCAAACAUGAUGCACUUUUCAGUAAAAUCUCAGUUGUAGCUAACUAUUAGAUCAUUAGCUCCAAAAAAGUCAUAAUGGUGAUGGUUUUUAGAUGUGCUGAAAAAUAAGGGGGUGCUGGUUCCAAAUUCCAAUGCUGAUUCAUACUUCCCUUUAUGUGUUGACAACUCAAUGCCCUACAUAUUUGGAUUAUUGAUUGGCAGCAAUUUCUGUUAGGCUGACCUUCUUUUGACAUCUUAAUUUGUUUGAGCCCAGCAAUUUUAAUAUAGAUUCCUAUUAGAACUAUUGAAUCAUUUGUUUUAUGUUUUUACUGAUUAUUAUAAGUUCUUGGUGGCAGUAUGGUAGAAAUUAAAGUCAUUCAGGGUCUUUAAUAUGGAUCAUAGUGAAUUUUUGUUGACAGCUUGAUUUAGUGAGGCUAGGUUGUCUCUAAGUAGUGCUUGAGGGUGAUAUAAGAAGAAAGGGAUUGUUUGGGUUUCUGUAUUUCUUCAAAUGGUAUGAACACCAUUUGACUGACUGGACCCAAAACAAUGUCUUUCUUUUUGUUAUGGAAUCUUAGUUUCAUUAAUUGACAUGUGAUAUAAAAAACUUCUGAAGAAGUUUACUUUAGUUAGCUACCAAGAUACCUCUACCCUAUCAAAAGCACACCAUUAUUUAGAUGCUAGGUGACAAUGUUCAUGCACUAUUAUACCUGCAGUGACAAAGGUGGAUGAUGGGUUUCUGCUCUCUAGAAUUGGAGUUUCAUGGUCUUUCUGGACUUCCAACCUGUUGAAGCCUUCAUGAUCCGCAACAUUGCUAAACUGGUUCCUGCAUUUAACCAGGUUUUUAUUAAAACUUCCUUUUCUUUUUUAUAAUCCAAUCCUUAAUCCAUAUAUGUUGUUUUAAUUAUUCAUGUUUUCUGUAACUAAAACUUUUGGGUUCUUUUCCCACGGUUGAGGUACUCUGGUGUUGGAGCAGGCAUUGAAUAUGCUGUGAAAUAUUUAAAAUACUUCAUAAAUGAGUGGGUCAAAAUCGGUUUACCUGCCAAGCCCAAGGUCCUGACAGAGCAUCCACAUCUCUCACAUGAAGAGCAAUGCCAUAUUUAUGAAAAGGAAGCAGUGAAUCUGUCACUGAUAAACAUUCAGAGCUGCCCAUAUAUUAGAGCAGCAAUGGCUUUGGAAAAUCUACCACUGAAGGAUGGCUAAUAUAAUUUGUUGACGGAUCCUUUGAACUUUGGAAGAUCAAGUAUCACAUUGCAUACCCUACUACCAUAAUUACACGCUGAAGUCUCUCUCCCCAUUUCGUUUUGCUUGCUCUUUUGGUCUAAGCAUGCAUGUGCUUUUUGUUUGCCUUUGGUCUUUGCAAAAAAAAAAAAAAAAAAAAAAAAAAAUAAUAAUAAUGAUAAUUGUUUUCAUAUUAAUGAAUAAAACAAGGAAAUUAAUUUGUUUGGUGAUGAUUUUAUGAGAAAUUCUCAACUGGCUAGGAAUUUCUACCAAGUACCAUGAAGCUGAUAUGAUCAUCUUCAACACAGGUCACUGGUGGACUCACCAAGAGACCAACAAAGGGCAAAUUCCGCUUCUUAUCAAAUUCUUUUAGAGAUUAAAAAUUACAAACCUUUUUAUCAUAGUUAUUACUUACUAUGAUCCAACCAGUUAUCUUUUAUUGUUUGUUAUUGCAGCAAAAAUUACUUCCAAGAAGGCAUUCAUAUCUAUAAGAAGUUAGAAUCCAAGCAUGAAUAUAUAAGAGAGUUCAAUGAGAAGAUUCAAAUUUAUAUAAUAUUUUAUUCUGUUUUUGAAUUGGCUUUGUCAAAAAUUGAUACUAUUUAUGGAUCUUGGAACUGAACAUUUGGAAUUUCUUAGCAAAUAAUCAUAAUAUCUUUGAUCAGUUCGUAAGAAAUCGUUGCAUUUUUGAAUCCGUAUUUCACUUUAGAUUUCCCAACUCACAAACCCCUUAGAGUUCUGAAUUUUUUAGCCAUGCCACAGCCUUGGAAUUUUGUGAAUGGAGAGCAAGUUCCUGCGAUAUCAGCUUCCAAGUUAGAAUUUUUAAUUUAAUAUGUCCUUUUAAGACUCAAUACCCUUUCUUAAUUAUCUAUUCAUUUAAAAUUGUGUAACUAUCCGUCCGUUGCCUCACUUUUUUUUUUCAGAGAUCUGGCUGUGAAGUUUAUAUAUCAGAAGCUACAUAUAAAGACCCUAGGGUCAGCAUGGAGAUCACACACAUGCAUACAUAUAUAUUUGUUCAUAAGAUUUUUUUAUUACUCUAAUUGGCGAUUGAUGCCUCACCAUCUUAAAAGACAAUGUGCAGCUAUCAUAAAUUGAACAAAAGUUCCUCACCGAGGUUUGGUGAUUUCAUAUUGAUAAUCCUGUGGAAUUUCAGGGCUAUGCAACUAGGAAUGUACACGGUUUACACUAAGUGAAAAAAAAAAAAAAGAAAAGUCUCGGCAGGGGGAAGAUGCUCCGGUAUUAUACUUGCAUCUGGAUAUCAAGGCUUGCCAUGGCUUAGGUCUCAAUUUUUAUUUUGGGUUUCAUGUGUUCUCUUUUGAUUGUUAACAAAUCUAAUCUAUCUAUGUUCAAUUAUUGAGCUUAUUUUUCAUUUUGUAUAGACAUUUGGGAUGUUUAUCAUGGGGUUGGAAAUGGUACCCAUGAAGAAAGGAAUUUGGGAAUCAUUUGUAAUUGGAGGAUUUGAUCACAGCUAAAAGCUGCUAAUUUUGUCUGAUUUGAAUUAGAUAUUCACAUAUUUUUUCAAGGGAAAUUAGAAAGUUAUCAUUGUCAUUUAAA